rnacentral:rRNA from 1 species
AGGGAAAAUACUGGAUUUUUAGUUAAGAUUGAUUCUGUCUUUUUUAAUUGGCUAUAAUUGGAUAGUUUUAUAUACAAGUUUUUGCGUGAUGAAGAAUUUAUCUAAAUGAUAAAUAUUUUUUUAAUUGUAGUUUUUAAUAUUGAGAUUUUUGGGAACAUAGAUUCAGUUAAUUUAUUUUAGAAUUGUUGAAAAUUGUGCCAGCAUACGCGGUUACACAAUUAAUUCAAGUUAAUUAUUUUGGUUAGUAUUUAUUUUUAUAAUUGGGGAUUUAAUUUUAAGUUAUUGGGUGAAAUUUUAACUUUAAAUAUAUUCUCUUGGUUUAAGAUUAUGCGAAACUUAGUUUAUAAACUAGGAUUAGAUACCCUAUUAUUCUAAGUGUAAAGUUUUGAGUUUAUA